GUUUAAAACAUUGAAAUACAGUGAACUGAAAUUCAAAUGACAAAAAUUAGGCAACAAUAGGUUACCUAAAAAUGUAUCCAACUUGGCAAUAGUCACACCUUUUCUAUUUUAGCCUAAAAUUUUAUAUUUGGAUUUCAGGUUUCAAAACUGUAGGGCUUUUUUAAGGCUUUAAAUUUGAAUUUCCUUCACAAUAGUUGAUAUUUAGUAUCCUUAAC